UACGUAGGUGGCAAGCGUUGUCCGGAUUUAUUGGGCGUAAAGCGAGCGCAGGUGGUUUCUUAAGUCUGAUGUGAAAGCCCACGGCUCAACCGUGGAAGGUCAUUGGAAACUGGGGAACUUGAAUGCAGAAGAGGAGAGUGGAAUUCCAUGUGUAGCGGUGAAAUGCGUAGAUAUAUGGAGGAACACCAGUGGCGAAGGCGACUCUCUGGUCUGUAACUGACACUGAGGCGCGAAAGCGUGGGGAGCAAACAGGAUUAGAUA
rnacentral:rRNA from 1 species